ensembl:lncRNA novel transcript
GCAGAGUUAUAUUUAGCGUUGAGAACAAUUUCAUUGAUUAUACUAUACCGGAAUUGAAUGGAAGAAAAACACUAAUUCCUGAAAGAAAUAAAUUUAAAUGCAGGAAGACCUAGAAACUAGAAAAACAAAGUACGUUGGAUUGUUUUACAGUUUAGAAGUUUCUGGCCCCACAGUUCUAGAGGCUGACUGACUGGGGCAGGUUGUAGAGAAACUUCUGGACAGGUUGUUAACAUCUGACACAGUGAGUGAGAAAAAAUCCAGCACAGUCACUGGGCAGGUUUAAGAAGAAGUGGCAGCCUCGGGAGAUGAAAG